AUUGAACGCUGGCGGCAUGCCUUACACAUGCAAGUCGAACGGCAGCACGGGUGCUUGCACCUGGCGGCGAGUGGCGAACGGGUGAGUAAUACAUCGGAACGUACCCAGAAGUGGGGGAUAACGUAGCGAAAGUUACGCUAAUACCGCAUAACGUUCUACGGAAGAAAGUGGGGGAUCGCAAGACCUCAUGCUUUUGGAGCGGCCGAUGUCUGAUUAGCUAGUUGGUGAGGUAAAGGCUCACCAAGGCGACGAUCAGUAGCUGGUCUGAGAGGACGACCAGCCACACUGGAACUGAGACACGGUCCAGACUCCUACGGGAGGCAGCAGUGGGGAAUUUUGGACAAUGGGGGCAACCCUGAUCCAGCAAUGCCGCGUGAGUGAAGAAGGCCUGA
rnacentral:rRNA from 1 species